AUGGACCAUAUGACCACCCCACAGGCACUGGACUAAUACCUCACAAGUGUCACCUCAGCGACAGGGGAAGUGUCUGACCCAGAGCCUCACCUCUCCACUCCAGCUCCCCUCACAGAGCCAAUGUGCUAUUCACAGAAGAGUGUCAUGCAGAUGUCAAAACUCUGAGCUCCAGGCUGGCAAGAUGCCUCAGUGGGUGAAGAGACUUGCUGCCAAGCCAGAUGACCCCAACUUGAUCCCUGGGACACGCAUAGCAGAAGGAAAGAAUCGACUCUGGCAAGAAGUCCUCUGAUGUCCAUACACACACACACACACACACACACACACACACACACAUCCCGGUAGCUGUCUUUGCUGCCCUUCAUCAUGCCACACUAUGGCUUUGGAGUCAGAAGGCAGGUUUCUCUAGGAGUCUUCCAUCAUGGGUUCCAGGGAUCAAGCUCAGGUCAUCAGGUCAUCCAUUCCUCCUUGACCUUUACAGAACUGUGAUGGUUAAUCUUCAUUACCAACCUGACCGGGUUUUGAUUUGCCAAGGAAACGUAUCCGUAAGUGAUAGUAUUGCAGACCAGCUCAACUGAAGAGGGUGACCCACCUUGAAUAUCACGUGACAUCAUCCAAUAGGCUUCAGUUUCAAACUAAAUAAAAG
rnacentral:lncRNA from 1 species